CGCAAGUUAAAAUCCCUAGGUGAACCAGUGCUUGAUUAGCUACGUUUCCUGUUUCUGCAUUGGUGAUCAUGGAAACAAAUGCUGAGAAGGAGCCUCUGCUGCCUGGGUACGUGAAUGACCACGGUGAACAGAGGGCUCAGUAAGGAACCCUGACGGACUGGUUUCAACUACUGUAGUGGGGGAAGACAAUCUGAUAUGAGAAAAAUGGAGACUUAAGGAAGAAAGAAGUUUUCCCCAUGAUGGCAUGAAGAAAAGCCACACAGUCCUCUGGCGGGAACCAUUAGAGGAAGGGACUAACAUUGUUCUCCCCUGAGUCUCUUCUUUGAGGCAGGGAGAAGACCCUGGAACAUCUGCAGGUGCAGAGAAAUGCCACCACUGGAUCAAGUGUUUGUCCUGUGAUAUGGAGACCACUCAAACAGCUUUACAAUUGUGUGCUAGUCAAGUGUAGAAUCAAAACCCUUUCUGUAGUUUCUGUUUGAGAAAAUAAAAAAGUUCUGGAGAUGGAUGGUUGUACAAUGUGAAUGUAUUUAACACUGAACAAUACAAUUAAAGACGGUAAAAUAGUAAAUGUUGUUAUGUAUAUUUUAC
rnacentral:lncRNA from 1 species